CCUACGGGUGGCACCAGUGAGGAAUUUUGGUCAAUGGACGCAAGUCUGAACCAGCCAUGUCGCGUGAAGGAGGACGGCCCUAAGGGUUGUAAACUUCUUUUGCAGUGGAAUAAAGUUUGCCACGUGUUGGCGAUUUGCAAGUACGCUGCGAAUAAGGAUCGGCUAACUCCGUGCCAGCAGCCGCGGUAAUACGGAGGAUCCAGGCGUUAUCCGGAUUUAUUGGGUUUAAAGGGUGCGCAGGCGGGGAAUUAGGUCGGCGGUGAAAUUUCGGGGCUCAACCUCGACAGUGCCGUUGAAACCGUUUCUCUUGAGUGCGGAUGAGGUAGGCGGAAUUUGUGGUGUAGCGGUGAAAUGCGUAGAUAUCACAAGGAACACCGAUUGCGGAGGCAGCUUACUAAACCGUUACUGACGCUCAUGCACGAAGGCGUGGGGAUCAAACAGGAUUAGAUACCCUUGUAGUC
rnacentral:rRNA from 1 species